rnacentral:tRNA from 2 species
UGGGCUGGUAGUGCAGGCGCAGCUCACCGUUCUCCAGGGCGGCACGCAGGUCGGACUCGAGUUCCAGGCGCUCGACCAGGCCGUC